UACGUAGGGGGGCAAGCGUUGUCCGGAAUCAUUGGGCGUAAAGAGCGUGUAGGCGGCUCGAUAAGUCUGCUGUGAAAGUCCAGGGCUCAACCCUGGAAGGCCGGUGGAAACUGUCGGGCUAGAGUCCGGAAGAGGCGAGUGGAAUUCCCGGUGUAGCGGUGAAAUGCGCAGAUAGUCGGGAGGAACACCGGUGGGCGAAGGCGGAUCUCUGGGCCAUUACUGACGCUGAGGAGCGAAAGCGUGGGGAGCGAACAGG
rnacentral:rRNA from 1 species